rnacentral:miRNA from 1 species
AAUCUCAUUGACUGGAAGGAAUCCCUUCCGGUCAAUGAGGUAUGAAAAUCUCAUUGACUGGAAGGAAUCCCUUCCGGUCAAUGAGGUA